rnacentral:tRNA from 1 species
CGUGAUAAAGCCAUGGUGAAUUAUGCCUUUGAUUAUUUAAGCUCACCAGGCAGUCUACCGUUAACCACGGCAGCCGCGGAGCUUUCCGCGAUUCAUGG